GAUGAAGAACGUAGCGAAAUGCGAUAAGUAAUGUGAAUUGCAGAAUUCAGUGAAUCAUCGAAUCUUUGAACGCACCUUGCGCUCCUUGGUAUUCCGAGGAGCAUGCCUGUUUGAGUGUCAUUAAUAUAUCAACCUUCUCUUUUUUGAGUUGUUUGGAUGUGGGGGUUUGCUGGCCUCUUAAAUGAUUCAGCUCCCCUGAAAUGCAUUAGCAGAACAACCUGUUCAUUAGCGUGAUAAUUAUCUAUGCUAUUGAAUGUGAGGGCAGUUCAGCUUUCUAACCGUCCUUGGACAAUUCAUCAUUAAUGUGACCUCAAAUCAGGUAGGACUACCCGCUGAACUUAAGCAUAUCAAUAAGCGGAGGA
rnacentral:misc_RNA from 1 species